GGCCUCGUAGCUAUGUUGGCUCAGUUUGCGUUGGCUUUACUAAAUCCUUCCCCUUGCUGGCGUGGGUUCGAAUCCCACCGAGGCCG
rnacentral:tRNA from 1 species